rnacentral:rRNA from 1 species
UAUGCGAAGCUUCAGAAGACAUAUCAAGUAGGGCGGGACACGUGAAAUCCUGUCUGAAGAUCGGGGGACCACCCCCGAAGGCUAAGUACUCCUUGCUGACCGAUAGCGAACCAGUACCGUGAGGGAAAGGUGAAAAGCACCCCGACGAGGGGAGUGAAACAGUACCUGAAACCGGACGCCUACAAGCAGUCGGAGGGGCCUUGAGCCCUGACGGCGUACCUUUUGUAUAAUGGGUCAACGACUUGGUCUAACGAGCGAGCUUAAGCCGAUAGGUGUAGGCGCAGCGAAAGCGAGUCUUAAAAGGGCGCAUGAGUUCGUUGGAUCAGACCCGAAACCAGGUGAUCUAGCCAUGAGCAGGAUGAAGGUUGGGUAACACCAACUGGAGGUCCGAACCGACACCCGUUGAAAAGGGUCCGGAUGACUUGUGGCUAGGGGUGAAAGGCUAAUCAAACCUGGAGAUAGCUGGUUCUCCGCGAAAGCUAUUUAGGUAGCGCCUCGGACGAAUACCAUCGGGGGUAGAGCACUGCAUGGAUGAUGGGGGCCCACAGCCUUACUGAGCCUAAGCAAACUCCGAAUACCGCAGAGUACUAUCCGGGAGACACACGGCGGGUGCUAACGUCCGUCGUGAAGAGGGAAACAACCCUGACCUGCAGCUAAGGCCCCUAAUUCAUGGCUAAGUGGGAAAGCAUGUGGGACGGCCAAAACAACCAGGAGGUUGGCUUAGAAGCAGCCAUCCUUUAAAGAAAGCGUAACAGCUCACUGGUCUAAAUAAGAGAUCCUGCGGCGAAAAUGUAACGGGGCUAAAGAUAUGUACCGAAGCUUAGGGUGUGCAAUUUAUUGCAUGCGGUAGCGGAGCGUUCCGUAGGCCGAUGAAGCGAUCUGGUAAUGGGUCGUGGAGGUAUCGGAAGUGCGAAUGCAGACAUGAGUAGCGAUAGGAGGGUGAGACACCCUCCCGCCGAAAGACCAAGGGUUCCUGCUUAAAGCUAAUCUGAGCAGGGUAAGCCGGCCCCUAAGACGAGCCCGAAGGGGGUAGUCGAUGGGAACCACGUUAAUAUUCGUGGGCCAGGAGGAAGUGACGGAUCUCGAAGAUUGUCUGCCCUUAUCGGAUUGGGUGGGCCGUUCAGAGGUCCCUGGAAAUAGCCCUCCAUCAGACCGUACCCUAAACCGACACAGGUGGACUGGUAGAGCAUACCAAGGCGCUUGAGAGAACUAUGUUGAAGGAACUCGGCAAAUUGCCUCCGUACCUUCGGAAGAAGGAGGCCCUCACAUUGCGCAAGCAGUAUGAGGGGGCACAGGCCAGGGGGUAGCGACUGUUUAGCAAAAACACAGGACUCUGCUAAGUCGGCUUCAAGACGACGUAUAGGGUCUGACGCCUGCCCGGUGCUGGAAGGUUAAGAGGAGGAGUGCAAGCUCCGAAUUGAAGCCCCAGUAAACGGCGGCCGUAACUAUAACGGUCCUAAGGUAGCGAAAUUCCUUGUCGGGUAAGUUCCGACCUGCACGA